rnacentral:rRNA from 1 species
AGUUUGAUCCUGGCUCAGGAUGAACGCUGGCGGCGUGCUUAACACAUGCAAGUCGAACGGUGAAGCCCAGCUUGCUGGGUGGAUCAGUGGCGAACGGGUGAGUAACACGUGAGCAAUCUGCCCCUGACUCUGGGAUAAGCGCUGGAAACGGCGUCUAAUACUGGAUACGAACCGUGGAGGCAUCUUCAACGGUUGGAAAGAUUUUUUGGUCAGGGAUGAGCUCGCGGCCUAUCAGCUUGUUGGUGAGGUAAUGGCUCACCAAGGCGUCGACGGGUAGCCGGCCUGAGAGGGUGACCGGCCACACUGGGACUGAGACACGGCCCAGACUCCUACGGGAGGCAGCAGUGGGGAAUAUUGCACAAUGGGCGAAAGCCUGAUGCAGCAACGCCGCGUGAGGGAUGACGGCCUUCGGGUUGUAAACCUCUUUUAGCAGGGAAGAAGCGAAAGUGACGGUACCUGCAGAAAAAGCGCCGGCUAACUACGUGCCAGCAGCCGCGGUAAUAC